GACGUAGGGGGCGAGCGUUGUCCGGAUUCAUUGGGCGUAAAGGGUGUGUAGGUGGCGCCGUAAGUCGGGUGUGAAAUUUCGGAGCUUAACUCCGAAACUGCAUUCGAUACUGCGGUGCUUGAGGACUGGAGAGGAGACUGGAAUUCAUGGUGUAGCAGUGAAAUGCGUAGAGAUCAUGAGGAAGACCAGUGGCGAAGGCGGGUCUCUGGACAGUUCCUGACACUGAGACACGAAGGCCAGGGGAGCAAACGGG
rnacentral:rRNA from 1 species